UUGGAAAGAAACAAAGACGCCAAGACAUUUUAAGUAACCUGUUCCAAUGCAGGCUAUACACCCUACGGUGAAUUGCAGUAUUCAGUUCUUAAGGACAGCUUCUCGGUAAACCGAGUUACUAGUAAUGGUCGGGAGAACAUCUGCGAUUUUUAGACAUCAUGUCAAAAUAUUGGUCCAGGAUGCCCCUGCCAAAGAUUUAAGCUUCCCGACGCAACUCAUUCAAAUCAACUUGGUAAUAACAUUCACAAGUAUUGCCAAAUAUUUGCUCAAAUUUAACAUCCUGUAACAGAGACAAAUCUAACAAUGUAUUAUUUGCCAGAAAGCGGGAUGUCAGAGAAAACGCAGAAAGUCGUAGAUCAUAUAAUCAAUGUCUGCAAAUGAAUACUAGUAUUUGAAACAGUUUGGACAAAAUCAGCUUGCUCUAUAAAACUAGGAAAGAAGCAUACUGUGUGAUGAAUUCGCUGCAGAUGUAUUUGUGUCAUGAACCACCCAGUCAUACGACUUAAUGUGCAUGGUCCC